rnacentral:rRNA from 1 species
GACGGAGGGUGCUAGCGUUGUUCGGAAUUACUGGGCGUAAAGGGCGCGUAGGCGGCGACUCAAGUUAGAUGUGAAAGUCCUGGGCUUAACCUGGGGACUGCAUUUGAUACUGGGUUGCUUGAAUUCGGGAGAGGAUAGCGGAAUUCCCAGUGUAGAGGUGAAAUUCGUAGAUAUUGGGAAGAACACCGGUGGCGAAGGCGGCUAUCUGGACCGACAUUGACGCUGAGGCGCGAAAAGCGUGGGGGAGCAAACAGGG